CCUUCCCCUGUCUGUGUGGGCGUGGUGGCUGUCACUCCUGGCUCCCGGCUCAACCUCCACCUGCUGCAAUCAGUUGGGCACCCUCCUCUGCUACACACCUGAUUUCCAUCAGCCAUUACUAAUGGCAUAUCAGCGGAGGCUCCACAACCUGUCAGCGCCAGAUCGUUGUUAAAACCCCAGUGGAUUACUCUCCAGUCGGAUUACUCUCCACGCUCCUCCACCUCAACAGCCGCUAGCAACCGGAAUACUCUCCACGCUCCUUCUCCUCAAAAUAAAACCUUUGUAACACUC